CAAUAGCGUAUAUUUAAGUUGCUGCAGUUAAAAAGCUCGUAGUUGGAUUUCGGGUGGGAAUGGCCGGUCCGCCGUUUCGGUGUGCACUUGCUACGCCCACCUUGCUGCCGGGGACGUGCUCUUGAGUUCACGCUCGGGACACGGAGUCGGCGAGGUUACUUUGAGUAAAUUAGAGUGUUCAAAGCAGGCCUACGCUCUGAAUACAUUAGCAUGGAAUAACACGAUAGGACUCUGGCCUAUCUUGUUGGUCUGUAGGACCGGAGUAAUGAUUAAGAGGGACAGUCGGGGGCAUUCGUAUUUCAUUGUCAGAGGUGAAAUUCUUGGAUUUACUGAAGACUAACUACUGCGAAAGCAUUUGUCAAGGACGUUUUCAUUAA
rnacentral:rRNA from 1 species